rfam:Salmo salar isolate Sally breed double haploid chromosome ssa22, whole genome shotgun sequence.
UGUAUUCACUACUGUAAGUUGCUCUGGAUAAGAGCGUCUGCAAAAUGACUAAAC